AUUGAACGCUGGCGGCAUGCCUUACACAUGCAAGUCGAACGGCAGCACGGGAGCAAUCCUGGUGGCGAGUGGCGAACGGGUGAGUAAUAUAACGGAACGUGCCCAGUCGUGGGGGAUAACGUAGCGAAAGCUACGCUAAUACCGCAUACCAUCGAUGGAUGAAAGCGGGGGAUCGCAAGACCUCGCGCGGUCGGAGCGGCCGAUAUCAGAUUAGGUAGUUGGUGGGGUAAAGGCUCACCAAGCCGACGAUCUGUAGCUGGUCUGAGAGGACGACCGGCCACACUGGGACUGAGACACGGCCCAGACUCCUACGGGAGGCAGCAGUGGGGAAUUUUGGACAAUGGGCGCAAGCCUGAUCCAGCAAUGCCGCGUGCAGGAUGAAGGCCUUCGGGUUGUAAACUGCUUUUGUACGGAACGAAACGGCGAGCUCUAAUACAGUUUGCUAAUGACGGUACCGUAAGAAUAAGCACCGGCUAACUACGUGCCAGCAGCCGCAGUAA
rnacentral:rRNA from 1 species